rnacentral:rRNA from 1 species
GGGUUGUGAGGUUAAGCGACUAAGCGUACACGGUGGAUGCCCUGGCAGUCAGAGGCGAUGAAGGGCGUGCUAAUCUGCGAUAAGCGCCGGUAAGGUGAUAUGAACCGUUAUAACCGGCGAUACCCGAAUGGGGAAACCCAGUGUGACUCGUCACACUAUCAUUAACUGAAUCCAUAGGUUAAUGAGGCGAACCGGGGGAACUGAAACAUCUAAGUACCCCGAGGAAAAGAAAUCAACCGAGAUUCCCCCAGUAGCGGCGAGCGAACGGGGAGGAGCCCAGAGCCUGAAUCAGCAUGUGUGUUAGUGGAAGCGUCUGGAAAGGCGCGCGAUACAGGGUGACAGCCCCGUACACAAAAGCGCAUGUGCUGUGAGCUCGAUGAGUAGGGCGGGACACGUGGUAUCCUGUCUGAAUAUGGGGGGACCAUCCUCCAAGGCUAAAUACUCCUGACUGACCGAUAGUGAACCAGUACCGUGAGGGAAAGGCGAAAAGAACCCCGGCGAGGGGAGUGAAAAAGAACCUGAAACCGUGUACGUACAAGCAGUGGGAGCACCCUUUGGGGUGUGACUGCGUACCUUUUGUAUAAUGGGUCAGCGACUUAUAUUCUGUAGCAAGGUUAACCGAAUAGGGGAGCCGGAGGGAAACCGAGUCUUAAUUGGGCGUUAAGUUGCAGGGUAUAGACCCGAAACCCGGUGAUCUAGCCAUGGGCAGGUUGAAGGUUGGGUAACACUAACUGGAGGACCGAACCGACUAAUGUUGAAAAAUUAGCGGAUGACCUGUGGCUGGGGGUGAAAGGCCAAUCAAACCGGGAGAUAGCUGGUUCUCCCCGAAAGCUAUUUAGGUAGCGCCUCGUGAACUCAUCUCCGGGGGUAGAGCACUGUUUCGGCUAGGGGGCCAUCCCGGCUUACCAACCCGAUGCAAACUGCGAAUACCGGAGAAUGUUAUCACGGGAGACACACGGCGGGUGCUAACGUCCGUCGUGAAGAGGGAAACAACCCAGACCGCCAGCUAAGGUCCCAAAGUCAUGGUUAAGUGGGAAACGAUGUGGGAAGGCCCAGACAGCCAGGAUGUUGGCUUAGAAGCAGCCAUCAUUUAAAGAAAGCGUAAUAGCUCACUGGUCGAGUCGGCCUGCGCGGAAGAUGUAACGGGGCUAAACCAUGCACCGAAGCUGCGGCAGCGACGCUGAUGCGUUGUUGGGUAGGGGAGCGUUCUGUAAGCCUGUGAAGGUGUGUCGUGAGGCAUGCUGGAGGUAUCAGAAGUGCGAAUGCUGACAUAAGUAACGAUAAAGCGGGUGAAAAGCCCGCUCGCCGGAAGACCAAGGGUUCCUGUCCAACGUUAAUCGGGGCAGGGUGAGUCGACCCCUAAGGCGAGGCCGAAAGGCGUAGUCGAUGGGAAACGGGUUAAUAUUCCCGUACUUGGUGUUACUGCGAAGGGGGGACGGAGAAGGCUAUGUUGGCCGGGCGACGGUUGUCCCGGUUUAAGCGUGUAGGUGUGUGUUCCAGGUAAAUCCGGUUCACUUUAACACUGAGGCGUGACGACGAGGCACUACGGUGCUGAAGCAACAAAUGCCCUGCUUCCAGGAAAAGCCUCUAAGCAUCAGGUAACAUCAAAUCGUACCCCAAACCGACACAGGUGGUCAGGUAGAGAAUACCAAGGCGCUUGAGAGAACUCGGGUGAAGGAACUAGGCAAAAUGGUGCCGUAACUUCGGGAGAAGGCACGCUGACAUGUAGGUGAAGUGAUUUACUCAUGGAGCUGAAGUCAGUCGAAGAUACCAGCUGGCUGCAACUGUUUAUUAAAAACACAGCACUGUGCAAACACGAAAGUGGACGUAUACGGUGUGACGCCUGCCCGGUGCCGGAAGGUUAAUUGAUGGGGUCAGCGCAAGCGAAGCUCCUGAUCGAAGCCCCGGUAAACGGCGGCCGUAACUAUAACGGUCCUAAGGUAGCGAAAUUCCUUGUCGGGUAAGUUCCGACCUGCACGAAUGGCGUAAUGAUGGCCAGGCUGUCUCCACCCGAGACUCAGUGAAAUUGAACUCGCUGUGAAGAUGCAGUGUACCCGCGGCAAGACGGAAAGACCCCGUGAACCUUUACUAUAGCUUGACACUGAACAUUGAGCCUUGAUGUGUAGGAUAGGUGGGAGGCUUUGAAGUGUGGACGCCAGUCUGCAUGGAGCCGACCUUGAAAUACCACCCUUUAAUGUUUGAUGUUCUAACGUGGACCCGUAAUCCGGGUUGCGGACAGUGUCUGGUGGGUAGUUUGACUGGGGCGGUCUCCUCCUAAAGAGUAACGGAGGAGCACGAAGGUUGGCUAAUCCUGGUCGGACAUCAGGAGGUUAGUGCAAUGGCAUAAGCCAGCUUGACUGCGAGCGUGACGGCGCGAGCAGGUGCGAAAGCAGGUCAUAGUGAUCCGGUGGUUCUGAAUGGAAGGGCCAUCGCUCAACGGAUAAAAGGUACUCCGGGGAUAACAGGCUGAUACCGCCCAAGAGUUCAUAUCGACGGCGGUGUUUGGCACCUCGAUGUCGGCUCAUCACAUCCUGGGGCUGAAGUAGGUCCCAAGGGUAUGGCUGUUCGCCAUUUAAAGUGGUACGCGAGCUGGGUUUAGAACGUCGUGAGACAGUUCGGUCCCUAUCUGCCGUGGGCGCUGGAGAACUGAGGGGGGCUGCUCCUAGUACGAGAGGACCGGAGUGGACGCAUCACUGGUGUUCGGGUUGUCAUGCCAAUGGCACUGCCCGGUAGCUAAAUGCGGAAGAGAUAAGUGCUGAAAGCAUCUAAGCACGAAACUUGCCCCGAGAUGAGUUCUCCCUGAGACUUAGAGUCUCCUGAAGGAACGUUGAAGACGACGACGUUGAUAGGCCGGGUGUGUAAGCGCAGCGAUGCGUUGAGCUAACCGGUACUAAUGAACCGUGAGGCUUAACCUUACAACGCCGAAG